CAGUAGCCGCGGGAAUACGUAGGUCCCGAGCGUUGUCCGGAUUUAUUGGGCGUAAAGCGAGCGCAGGCGGUUAGAUAAGUCUGAAGUUAAAGGCUGUGGCUUAACCAUAGUACGCUUUGGAAACUGUUUAACUUGAGUGCAGAAGGGGAGAGUGGAAUUCCAUGUGUAGCGGUGAAAUGCGUAGAUAUAUGGAGGAACACCGGUGGCGAAAGCGGCUCUCUGGUCUGUAACUGACGCUGAGGCUCGAAAGCGUGGGGAGCAAACAGGAUUAGAUACCCGAGUAGUCCCUGUCUCUUAUACA
rnacentral:rRNA from 1 species